rnacentral:rRNA from 1 species
GAUGAACGCUGGCGGCGUGCCUAAUACAUGCAAGUCGAGCGAACGGACGAGGAGCUUGCUUUUCUGAUGUUAGCGGCGGACGUGUGAGUAACACGUGGAUAACCUACCUAUAAGACUGGGAUAACUUCGGGAAACCGGAUCUAAUACCGGAUAAUAUUUUGAACCGCAUGGUUCAAAAGUGAAAGACGGUCUUGCGGUCACUUAUAGAUGGAUCCGCGCUUCAUUAGCUAGUUGGUAAGGUAACGGCUUAUCAAGGCAACGAUGCAUAGCCGACCUGAGAGGGUGAUCGGCCACACUGGAACUGAGACACCGUCCAGACUCCUACGGGAGGCAGCAGUAGGGAAUCUUCCGAAAUGGGCGAAAGCCUGACGGAGCAACGCCGCGCGAGUGAUGAAGGUCUUCGGAUCGUAAAACUCUGUUAUUAGGGAAGAACAUAUGUGUAAGUAACUGUGCACAUCUUGACGGUACCUAAUCAGAAGGCCACGGCUAACUACGUG